GUGGGGAAUAUUGGACAAUGGGCGAAAGCCUGAUCCAGCCAUGCCGCGUGUGUGAAGAAGGUCUUCGGAUUGUAAAGCACUUUAAGUUGGGAGGAAGGGCAGUAAGUUAAUACCUUGCUGUUUUGACGUUACCGACAGAAUAAGCACCGGCUAACUUCGUGCCAGCAGCCGCGGUAAUACGAAGGGUGCAAGCGUUAAUCGGAAUUACUGGGCGUAAAGCGCGCGUAGGUGGUUUUGUAAGUUGGAGGUGAAAUCCCCGGGCUCAACCUGGGAACUGCCUCCAAAACUGCAUGACUAGAGGACGGUAGAGGGUAGUGGAAUUUCCUGUGUAGCGGUGAAAUGCGUAGAUAUAGGAAGGAACACCAGUGGCGAAGGCGACUACCUGGACUGAUACUGACACUGAGGUGCGAAAGCGUGGGGAGCAAACAGGAUUAGAUACCCGAGUAGUCC
rnacentral:rRNA from 1 species